rnacentral:rRNA from 1 species
CGGGACGGGUGAGUAAUGUCUGGGAAACUGCCUGAUGGAGGGGGAUAACUACUGGAAACGGUAGCUAAUACCGCAUAACGUCGCAAGACCAAAGAGGGGGACCUUCGGGCCUCUUGCCAUCGGAUGUGCCCAGAUGGGAUUAGCUAGUAGGUGGGGUAACGGCUCACCAGGCGACGAUCCCUAGCUGGUCUGAGAGGAUGCCAGCCACACUGGAACUGAGACACGGUCCAG